rnacentral:rRNA from 1 species
AUUAACGCUAGCGGCAGGCAUAAUACAUGCAAGUUGAACGGCAGCACAGGUAGCAAUACUGGGUGGCGAGUGGCGCACGGGUGCGUAACACGUAUGCAACCUACCCUAUACAGGCGAAUAACCUUUAGAAAUGAGGGCUAAUACGCCGUAGUAUUACAGAUGGGCAUCUAUUUGUAAUUAAAGAUUUAUCGGUAUAGGAUGGGCAUGCGUCCCAUUAGUUAGUUGGUAAGGUAACGGCUU